rnacentral:rRNA from 1 species
UACGUAGGGUGCAAGCGUUGUCCGGAAUUAUUGGGCGUAAAGAGCUCGUAGGCGGUUUGUCGCGUCUGCUGUGGAAACCCGAGGCUCAACCUCGGGCCUGCAGUGGGUACGGGCAGACUUGAGUGUUGCAGGGGAGACUGGAAUUCCUGGUGUAGCGGUGAAAUGCGCAGAUAUCGGGAGGAACACCGGUGGCGAAGGCGGUUCUCUGGGCCUUACCUGACGCUGAGGAGCGAAAGCGUGGGGAGCGAACAGG